AAAUUCGAACAGAAUCACCUUGGGAGAACCAAUCUUUGAGAUCCUUCCAUGCCGCAACGACAGAAUCAACCCAGAUAAUACUUGUAGCAAUCUCAUGAGAAACAGAAUGAUUGAUCCAAGAUAAAACUAGAUUAUUGCAACGCUUCCAUGCGUGAACCAUGGGAUCUUUAUCAGUUGGACAAGGAAUGGAACCAUCAACAAAGCCAAUCUUAUUUUUCAUUUGUAGUGCCAUAGACAUCGAGC
rnacentral:lncRNA from 1 species